AUUGAACGCUGGCGGCAGGCCUAACACAUGCAAGUCGAGCGGGGUUUUCGGACCUAGCGGCGGACGGGUGAGUAAUGCGUAGGAAGCUGCCCGAUAGAGGGGGAUACCAGUUGGAAACGACUGUUAAUACCGCAUAAUGUCUACGGACCAAAGUGUGGGACCUUCGGGCCACAUGCUAUCGGAUGCGCCUACGUGGGAUUAGCUAGUUGGUGAGGUAAUGGCUCACCAAGGCGACGAUCUCUAGCCGGUUUGAGAGGAUGAUCAGCCACACUGGAAAUGAGACACGGUCCAGACUCCUACGGGAGGCAGCAGUGGGGAAUAUUGGACAAUGGGCGCAAGCCUGAUCCAGCCAUGCCGCGUGUGUGAAGAAGGCCUUCGGGUUGUAAAGCACUUUCAGCGAGGAGGAAGGGUGGUGUGUUAAUAGCACAUCAUUUUGACGUUACUCGCAGAAGAAGCACCGGCUAACUCUGUGCCAGCCGCCGCCGUAAAAC
rnacentral:rRNA from 1 species